rnacentral:rRNA from 1 species
CCUACGGGAGGCAGCAGUGAGGAAUAUUGGUCAAUGGACGCAAGUCUGAACCAGCCAUGUAGCGUGAAGGAUGACUGCUCUAUGAGUUGUAAACUGCUUUUAUACGAGGAUAAAACACGAUACGCAUACCGGGUUGUAAGUACCAUAUGAAUAAGGAUCGGCUAACUCCGUGCCAGCAGCCGCGGUAAUACGGAGGAUCCGAGCGUUAUCCGGAUUUAUUGGGUUUAAAGGGAGCGUAGGUGGUUCGUUAAGUUAGAUGUGAAAGCUUGCGGCUCAACCGCAAAAUUGCAGUUGAGACUGGCAGGCUUGAGUAUAGUAGCGGUAGGCGGAAUGUGUGGUGUAGCGGUGAAAUGCAUAGAGAUCACACAGAACACCGAUUGCGAAGGCAGCUUACUAAACUGCAACUGACACUGAUGCACGAAAGUGUGGGGAUCAAACAGGAUUAGAUACCCUAGUAGUC